CCCUUAACUAUUAAAAGUUUCGUUUUGGUCCCUUAACUUAUUUUUUGGUUUCGUUUUGGUCCCUUAACUCUUCCUCCGUCAACCACUUUGGUCCUUUAUGUUAGGAUGAAUGUAUUAGAGUUAAGAACCAAAACGAAAUCAAAAAAUAAGUUAAGGGACCAAAACGAAACCAAAAAAUAAGUUAAGGGACCAAAACGAAACUUUUAAUAGUUAAGGGACCAAAACAAAACCAAAAAAUAAAUUAAGGGACCAAAACGAAACUUUUAAUAGUUAAGGGA
rfam:Medicago truncatula strain A17 chromosome 2, whole genome shotgun sequence.